AGUCGACGGGAUCUGACCAGCUUGCUGGUUGGUGAGAGUGGCGAACGGGUGAGUAAUGCGUGACCAACCUGCCCCAUGCUCCAGAAUAGCUCUUGGAAACGGGUGGUAAUGCUGGAUGCUCCAACUUGACGCAUGUCUUGUUGGGAAAGUGUUUAGUGGCAUGGGAUGGGGUCGCGUCCUAUCAGCUUGUAGGCGGGGUAAUGGCCCACCUAGGCUUCGACGGGUAGCCGGCCUGAGAGGGCGGACGGCCACAUUGGGACUGAGAUACGGCCCAGACUCCUACGGGAGGCAGCAGUGGGGAAUAUUGCGCAAUGGGGGAAACCCUGACGCAGCGACGCCGCGUGCGGGAUGAAGGCCUUCGGGUUGUAAACCGCUUUUGAUUGGGAGCAAGCUUUCGGGUGAGUGUACCUUUCGAAUAAGCGCCGGCUAACUACGUGCCAGCAGCCGCGGUAAUACGUAGGGCGCAAGCGUUAUCCGGAAUUAUUGGGCGUAAAGAGCUUGUAGGCGGUUCGUCGCGUCUGGUGUGAAAGCCCAUCGCUUAACGGUGGGUCUGCGCCGGGUACGGGCGGGCUAGAGUGCAGUAGGGGAGACUGGAAUUCCCGGUGUAACGGUGGAAUGUGUAGAUAUCGGGAAGAACACCAAUGGCGAAGGCAGGUCUCUGGGCUGUUACUGACGCUGAGAAGCGAAAGCGUGGGGAGCGAACAGGAUUAGAUACCCUGGUAGUCCACGCCGUANACGGUGGACGCUGGAUGUGGGGCCCAUUCCACGGGUUCCGUGUCGGAGCUAACGCGUUAAGCGUCCCGCCUGGGGAGUACGGC
rnacentral:rRNA from 1 species